AUACGUAGGUGGCAAGCGUUGUCCGGAAUGAUUGGGCGUAAAGGGCGCGUAGGCGGCCCGGUAAGUCUGGAGUGAAAGUCCUGUUUUUAAGAUGGGAAUUGCUUUGGAUACUGUCGGGCUUGAGUGCAGGAGAGGUAAGUGGAAUUCCCAGUGUAGCGGUGAAAUGCGUAGAGAUUGGGAGGAACACCAGUGGCGAAGGCGACUUACUGGGCCGUAACUGACGCUGAGGCGCGAAAGCGUGGGGAGCGAACAGGAUUAGAUACCCUGGUAGUCCACGCGGUAAACGAUGAAUGCUAGGUGUUGCGGGUAUCGACCCCUGCAGUGCCGGAGUAAACACAAUAAGCAUUCCGCCUGGGGAGUACGGCCGCAAGGUUGAAACUCAAAUGAAUUGACGGGG
rnacentral:rRNA from 1 species